rnacentral:rRNA from 1 species
CACGCCAUAAAACUAAUGCUCGCUAGGUGUCAGGCAUGGCGCGACCGUGUCUGGUGCCGCAGGGAAGCCGUGAAGCGAGCCACCUGGGAAGUACGGCCGCAAGGCUGAAACUUAGAGGAAUUGGCGGGGGAGCACAACAACGGGUGGAGCCUGCGGUUUAAUUGGACUCAACGCCGGACAACUCACCGGGGACGACAGCAAUAUGUAGGCCAGGCUGAAGACCUUGCCUGAAUCGCUGAGAGGAGGUGCAUGGCGUAGACGUCU